rnacentral:ncRNA from 1 species
GUUCUUCAGCGUACUUUCCAGCGGUUUGAUAUACAGGCUGUUGUUGUUCAGGCGGACAUCACCUUUGGCGGUGGUCAUUUCGCCGUCCAGCGGGAUAUCCAGAUGUAAGCGAGCAUUCACAUCGCCAUCAAGCUGGAGUUGCUCAAGCGUGGCAGCCAGCGAAGCUUUCAGCGGCGUCUCUUCAAAAUAGGGACCGACCGCCUUGCCCGGCCCGUUGAUAUCGGCAUCAAUCAGCAGUUUCUCUUUUGAGUAAUCGGGGAUAUUUGCCGUCAGAUUGGUGGCCGUCACGCCGCCCAGCGCGACGCUGUCUGACUUCAUCCACAACCCGUCAUUGAGAAAAUUAAGCUCGAUAUCGAGGUUUUUCAGGGCAGGCCAGCCCGGCUGGAACGCAAAGGUAGCGUUGUGCAACGGCAC